UGGACUGUGGACCACUAAACUGCAAACCAACUAAACCUUCUUCCCUCCUAAGGUGGAUCCUCUUUGGUAAUCCUUAAGAUUCUAUUAACCCCUGGUGUGGACAAUGAUAAAUUUCUUUAUCUGUGACAAAGUACUCUGUGUGGACACUGAUUGCCUACCAAGCAUCCAUUGCCUCCCCGCCGCCACAUACUUAAGUGGAAACUGGUGUCACGCCAUUGUCAUCGGAGGGCUGAUACCCUUCCGGAACCUUCUUAGGCCCAGACUGCACUCUACAUCACCCAAGCUCCAUGGGUGAUCAACUGUGGUUUUUCUAACAUUCUACAACUGGUCUACUAUUCUGCAAUUGGUCACUGCAACAGUAUUUUCUAGAACAUUUGUUUUGAUGCCAUUUGUGGUUUCUUUAUAUUCCCUGCCAAACUGUCAACUCAGGGUCUCUCCAUAUGCCAACAUCUGGUAUUCAAUUGGACGUCUGGAUGAUCUUCCAAAGAAAUGAUUGCUGAGAGCCAGGGAAUUUCUUCUGUUCCUGCUUUCCCUCUGUUCAAAUCCUACUGAGUUAUCCAAAUGAUCUCUCUAUCAACACAUGCGAAUGUGUUCAGAAUCUUCUGUGUAGGAGAUGCCUAACAUUGACAUCAAGCUGGAAGUUGGUUGGAAAAUAAUGUGUUCUGCUGUUGUGUUAUUCUCUUUUAUUUUGCUGUUUAAAAUAAUCUCAAGAAAUCGCAAUCAAACCCCCAAAUAGGCACAGGAUGCAUAACUGAAUUCAGUUUUCCCCUUAUUACAUUGUUGGUAUUAUCAACGUACAAUGAAAUCUCUGAGACGCCAGACAUAUGGCCCCCAGAUGAUGUCUGAGUCGGGGCCUUGAGGGAGUGUGACGACACUUCAGCCGAGUGCACAGUGUAUGCUCCAGCUGCAGCCUGCAGAUGUGUGCCCGGGCAGGCUGGGGAAGGACACGAGCCCUGGGCUUGCCUCCUAGUGCUCCUCCUAGAACAGUGGCAACCUCCAUUCCUCUUCUGGAGAAGCAGCAAGCCAUGGUUCCCAGACACACAGCUGGCCUGGUCCAAGGGGAAGCACGUGGCUGAGGACAGGAGCUUUGGUUCUGAUCCCAGGCCCUUCCCGAAGUUAAAACUCUAGGGGCCUUCUGCCAACAUGGACCUUGGAGAGGCUCUUCAAGCCUGCUGUAGGGCAGCGGAGAGGAACUGGGGUGUGGAUGGGACAAAGUGGGGGAAGUCCCUUGGGGCAGACCUCCUGGCCAUCUCUCCUUCCCACUUCGGCCAUGCCUGGAGUACUGUGAUCUGGUUUGUCUUGGGCCUCCAUGUAAAAUGGAUCUGGACAGCAAAAAAAUCACCACCUACAGCAGAUAAUCCACCUGCCGGGUCAUACCUCAUAUCAGACUAUGACUAAGGAGCCCCCUUGGGCUAACACACGCAGACUUGUUACUAUGUCUUACUUUUGACUGACCUUGGUGGUAACCUGUCAGGCCAUCAACUCUCCUGAGACCGGGCUCCAGUGUCCAGCUGGGGAGACCAGGCUGAUAUGGCAGAAUCAUGCUCUGAGCUGAUUCAACACACAUGCUCUAAGUGCCUCCUCCUUCCUUGCUUUCUUGUGUUCACUUUCCUUUCCUUUCCCUCUUCCUCUCUUCCCCUGCUUUCCCUCUCUCUUCCUGAUCCUUUCCCAGUCUCUGGCCUGCCCAUUGUAGACCUUUCAGUGGCCAUAAAUUCCUUUCACACUUGAAGCAGUUUCCAAGUGAGUUGAGAAGGGUAAGUAUGUCCCAGCCUCCUGCCUAGACACCGUUUCGGGUGCAGAUAGAACUGGGCCUGCCUGGGAUUCUCACAGGAGCCCACCUGGGCCCAUCUGCUGCUAUCGUAAAUCUGCGGGGAGUUGAAGUCGAUUGAUCUGGGGAGCGUUUCCAAGCUCCCAUGUCUGCCAGCUGUGUGGAGCUGCCUCUGCCAGGCGUGUGAAGCGCUGAAUCAGCAAAAUGAGGUGCCUCCAGAUUGGACAGGGAGAAACGUGACUUUACAAGUGCGGGGGAAGUCCAUCUGGAGAUGACUGUUGAACAAACGGUAAAUGCCGCAGCUACACCGCUUGGCCACGCGCAUGCUUCCGGGGCCAUUCCAUUCACUGUUCUCCCCCCCGCCCCCCACGGCUGUACUCCGGGAACCUGCGAUGGUUGCUGGCAACACCAUACAGCAGUAUGCAGGAGCAGGGGAACCUCACAGCAUCCCCCUUCUGGGACGUAGGACCCCAGAGUUACCGGGUCUACACACUCUUGCUCCAUCAGAGAUGGAUGUGGUUAGCUGAAGGAGGCUCAUCUGUUUCCAUCCCUGACGCACACUGAUGAGGUUUAAAUGACAGCUGUGAACAGCAUCCUCUGGGUUUUUUCAAUCUGGAAACUCUCUAGUUUCUGUCCUAGGAUGCAUCUUUGCAGAGAGGGCUUCCCCAGAAGGUGAUUCAGUCACUCACCCUGUGAGCAAGCAAGCGUUAAGGGUGUCCUGUGCCAGAG